AAGAGAGAUCAGAAAUACAAGAGGCAGAGGAAGCAAGGUUGAAAAAGAUUCGGGAAUGCAAAUUAAAAUACACCAAAUAAAGCUUGAACUUAGACAUACUUAUUGGUAAUAGGAUUGACUGAAUGGAUUCAUUUAAUUUCUAAGCUUCGUAUCAAUUUUUAUUUUUGUAAUUGCAAUCCUGCAAAAAUUACCGGCUAUGUAAUAACUUUUUUAAUGAAUUUUUAUAAAUAUACAUUUAUUUAAUUUUGUUUAGUUUCACUAGUUAGUAGUUCUUCAGUGAUUCCAUUUGUUGAUAGUCCCCACAGACUCAAUCUCUCCAUCAUCUCUCCUCAUAACUGGCAACCAUUUGGAGUUAAGGAAUAAGAGA